CACUUCACCGUGAAGAGGCACAGCUGAGAACUCCUGGGGAACCUCCUGGUUCCUCCUGCUGACUUAUGCCAAUUUGGCUGAGGUCUGGUUGUUCCUGCUAGGUUGUGCCACUACUGUUGCUAACCCAACACUACUGAACUGGGCUGACUGCUGGUGCAUCUGUGAAGUGUUUGUGAGUGGAUUGAGCAGUCACUGCUGACCUGUGAACUGAACUGCUGAUUUCCUGACAGUGCAGACGGGAUUUGCUCCAAAGGGUAGAAGAUCCUUCAGGAAAUUUAGUGGUUUAUAUCCAAGAUUCCAGGAAUUGCAGCGCUGGAGUGAUCCCAGAAGUUGUUUGUGCUGUCUCCAUACCUCAAAGAAGAAGAAACUAAAAUCUGAAGCAAUUAGUCAAGUUCAAAGGAAUCAGGAUCACCUCUCAUAAAAGCCGUAUAUGAAAAUAACUACAGCAAGGGGAUUAAAUAGAAUUCAUCUUUUGGAGAAGCCUAUUUAAAAAAGAAGAAGAAUCUUCAUUAGAGACCUUUGCCUGACUCCUAAAUCCUUGGUUAAUGUGAGUCUGCUUUCCUUUAUUUUGAGCCUGAAUGCCUGGAUUCAGUUACAAUGAGAGAAUUAGCAUCAGUGGACUCCGUGGGUACACAAAGCUCUUUGAGACUCAGGGAAUCUGGACUACACAGUGGGGAAGGGCCCUGUCUCUGAGUUGUCAUUUUGAGUUUGAAUUCCUAAGACUCACCCCCACUGGGGUUUCUGGCAUGCUGCCCACAUUUUCGUUUUCUCAUCUAUGCAAUUAGAGUAAUGAAAAUGUAAGUCACACGGUUUGUUGUGAAGUUAAGUGAAAUAAAGGCAUAGAGCCCAGUAUCUGGCACUAAAAUGUGAUGCAUAGAAGGCAUGUUUCCCAUUUAUGAAACGAGGACAGAUGCGAGGAGUGACCUUGCCACCCUGCUCGGCUCAUUUCCUUCUGCAGCAUCUCCUUUCUCAGAGCUCCGGACAGCAAACGUUCACAUUGCAAUUCAAACGGAAUCUCUUGCAAGUUUGAGGAUCAUUAAAUGACUAGCCUCUGUGUGUGUGUGUGUGUGUGUGUGUGUGUGUGUGUGUGUGUGUGUUUCUUCUUCUAACAAUUGCUGUUUCUCAGCUCUUGUCGAUGUGGUUACA
ensembl:lncRNA